GACGAACGCUGGCGGCGUGCUUAACACAUGCAAGUCGAACGGAAAGGCCCUGCUUUUGUGGGGUGCUCGAGUGGCGAACGGGUGAGUAACACGUGAGUAACCUGCCCUUGACUUUGGGAUAACUUCAGGAAACUGGGGCUAAUACCGGAUAGGAGCUCCUGCUGCAUGGUGGGGGUUGGAAAGUUUCGGCGGUUGGGGAUGGACUCGCGGCUUAUCAGCUUGUUGGUGGGGUAGUGGCUUACCAAGGCUUGGACGGGUAGCCGGCCUGGGAGGGUGACCGGCCACAUUGGGACUGAGAUACGGCCGAGACUCCUACGGGAGGCAGCAGUGGGGAAUAUUGAACAAUGGGCGGAAGCCUGAUGCAGAAACGCCGCGUGCGGGAUGACGGCCUUCGGGUUGUAAACCGCUUUCGCCUGUGACGAAGCGUGAGUGACGGUAAUGGGUAAAGAAGCACCGGCUAACUACGUG
rnacentral:rRNA from 1 species